GGGGCAUUAGCGCAGCUGGGAGCGCGUUUGACUGGCAGUCAAGAGGUCAGGGGUUCGAUCCCCCUAUGCUCCACCA
rnacentral:tRNA from 2 species